rnacentral:lncRNA from 1 species
AUAUAUAAAAAAGAUAAAUAAAUCAUAGUGUUAUUAUCUAUGCAAAUAAUUAAUUUCUUAAAUUAAUCGAAAAGUAAUUGUAAACAUAAAGGAGAAAAAACAAAUAAAAUAAAUCUAACGCAGAAGUAAUAGAAUAGCUUGCAAAACCUUGGCGAACCGGUUCAAAGCUGAGAAAAGGAUCCAAAUUUUUAGAGAUCUCAAAAACCGGUUCAAAACUGCAACCUUCCGAAAAGGAUAUGAAAGAUCUUCUUAGAAGUGUAGAUGUCGUAGGAUGCAACGCAAAAGAUAGCGUGUGACCAUUAUAUAGGCAUUGAGAGAUAUGGGAGAAGCCGGACAACCCUUCGGCGCUAAUGGAAACGGCAUGAAGGGAAGUAGGAUCGAUGUCGUAUGUGGCCCAAUUUUCCUCCAUAGAAGAGAAACGACGGUUUUCGAAGCAGCGACAAAGAAAGGAACGAACCGGCGAACCGAUCCGAUGCGGCAUUGGAAGACGAAGCGAUAAUGAAUCGAGACCAUUUUAGAGUCGAGAGGGGAAUCAUUCGACGGGAAUGAAGCGGCGCCAAUGGAAUCGGCAGGGAGGGAGGCAAAAUCGAUGUCGCAUGCACUUGGCCCUAUUUUCUGUUCAUAGAAGAAAAUUGAUGGCUUCGAAGCGAUGAAGCGAACCGGCAUCGAUGGCCGAAGCGACGAAGCGAACAGGCAACGAUGGCUUCCGAAGCGACGAAGCGAACCGGCCCGAGGCGACGAAGCGAUCCGGCCCAAAGCGACAACAAUGGAAAAAGCAAAAGGAUCGGGUUCAAAAAGUGUAUUUGUUCUUUAAACCCUAAAACCAAUUAGGUGGGCCCCACAUGCCAUAUAUAAUAAAAAUGGCAGGCAUGUCCCACAUACUAAGAUAUUUUUCUCUAAACCCUAAAACAGCAGGUGGGUCCCACAUGCACUAAAUUAAGCCAAACAUACUAUAACUGACAGGUAGGCCCCACAUGCACAAAUUAAGCAAAACUUAAGAUAGCUUCCAAAGUGACGACAAAGGAAAAAAUGAACCGGCAAACUGGUACAGAAGAGCACCCGUCUUUCAAGAUAAGGAUUUGGUUCAGAAGAGUAUUUUCUUUCUAAACCCUAUAACCAAUAGGUGGGUCCCACAUGCCAUAAUAUUUAAAGAGAAUCGGAAAAAUAACAGGCGGGUCCCGCAUGCUUGAAGAUAAGGAUCCGAUUCAGAAAAAUAUAUUUUCUCUAAACCCUAAAACAACAUGUGGGUCCCACAUGCCCUAACAUUUAAAGAGGAAUAAAAAACUAACAUGUUGGUCCCACAUGCCCCAAAUUAAGCCAAACAUGCCAUAACUGUCGGGUAGAUACCACAUGCCCCAAAUUAAGCAAAACUUGCCAUGUGGACUUAAAAUUAGAUUUGAAAAAUUGCAAAUCCAGCAAAAUCAAAAGUGGGGAUCAUACAAAAGCAGGGAAAAAGAGAAAAAGUAAAACCAACAAAAAAAAGAGUAAAAACAACAUGAUGUGUAGGCUCAGAAAAUUAAUAUGUUAUAUCAGAAAUCAACAGAGGGGAUUUUCACAUGUAAAACAUCAUCGAAACAAAUUGUAAGGUUGAUCAAUAGUUGCAACAGUUGCAUAAAUGCCAUCCAAGUUGCCAUACCAUGCAAAAUCUAUGUUGAUAUUCAAUCAUUUUCUUUUUUUCAUUCGGUCAUCAUCGCCAACACCAAAGGGAAAAUAAGUGAAACAGCAGCAGUAGAGCCAACAGUAUUUUUUUUUUAAAAAUAAAUCGAAAAAGAAUGAAAGAAACCGAACCUACAGUAAAUCAUAACCAUUAUUUCGCUAUAUUUGCAAAGGUAGGAAAAAGAAGUAGAAGAAGCAACAAAUAAUCAAUAAGUUAUAUCAGUAAACAAACUUGAUUUCCACAUAUGAAAUGUCAUUGAAACAAAUUGUAAAGGUGAUUCGUGGUUACAACAGUGGCCUAAAUGGCAUCCAAGUUGCCAUACCAUGCAAAAACUUUGUCAAUAAGUAAUUAUUAGACUUUUUCGUUCGGUUAUCAUUGCCAACACCAACAGCAAAUUCAGUGAAAUAGCAGCAGGAGAGCUAGAAGCAUUUUAAAAAAAAUUAAACACAGAAAGGAUGAAAAGAACAAAACCUGUAGCAGUAUAUCACCAUUCUUGACGAAACCAUAUUUCCGAGAUUAUUUGUCCGAAACCUGUAAGCAACAGUGGGACCAUUUUUCCAUAUAGAGGCGAAUCAUUUGCCAUGAAUGAAGCAGGACUAAUGGAAAUGUCAAGGAGUGAAGGAAAAUCGAUGUUUUAUAUGGCCCAAUUUUUCAUCCAUAGAAAAGGAACGAUGGUUUUUGAAGCGACAUCAAAGAAAGAAAUGAACCGCCAAACCGAUUCAAAAGAGCAUCCGGUUUUCCGAAGAUCAAAAUCCGGUUUAGAAGAGCCUUCUUAACCAAUAGGUGGGUCUCACAUGUCAUAAACGUUUAAACAGAAAUUGAAAAACUGACAAGGAGGUGCCACAUGCCCCAAAUUAAGACAUACAUGCAACAUGAAUAGUUUAGUCCCAUAGAUAAAAGAGAAAGCCAAGUUGCCAUACCAUGAGUAUAGUUUGUUUCCACAUUUAAAAUGUCUUUGAAACAAUUUGUAAGAGAAAUCAGUGGUUGCAACAAAUGUCUAAAAUCCAACCAAGUUGCCAUACCAUGCAAGUUUUGGCAAUUUUACUCAUGAAAUGGGUUGUAGAUGUAUAAAAAUUAAGCCAAGCAUGCCACAUGGAUUAAAAAUUACAGGGGUUAACAUAGGCUUAUAAAUAGAUAUUAUUAGAAAAGGAAGAAGAUAAAUAAAACCAAUGGAAGAGGUGUAAAAACAUCAAAACUGUGUAGGUUUAUGGCAGAGGCAAAGUUGGUUUGUACUCAAUAUACUACUUAUAAAUAGGUGAAUUAGAGUUAACCAAAAAUUAUUUACUUAUACACAGAAUUUCAAAAACUAUGAUGAAUUUGCUGAAAAAUAUUUGUCUAUUUCAAUAAUCAAAAUAUGUAAUUUGUUUCAGUAACAUCCAUUCUAAUAAAGCUUUUAAUGCCAUAAAUUUAAUGAUUGAAUCAGAGAGAGGGAGAUCUAGGGAUUUGGAAGUGCUCACAUCGACGCAACCGGCGGAGAGGUAGGAGGUGGCUGACCCGCCGAGAAAGAAUUCUCAAUCACCAGUGACGGCCGUUGGCCAGGUGUAAGCCGCCGCCGCCCCCUCCGCCACGGUCGCCACGACACUGUCGUGGAGCGUGCUGUAGGGUUUCUGCGAGCCCAAAAAAACAGACAUCAACGGAAGCGUGUAAGCCGCCGCCGCCCCCUCCGCCACGGUCGCCACGACACUGUCGUGGAGCGUGCUGUAGGGUUUCUGCGAGCCCAAAAAAACAGACAUCAACGGAAGCUUCUAGUAGUUUCGAGAGGGUUCGAGAGGGCUCAGGAGGCGACGGCGAGGGCGGAGGGGAUGGAGAGGGAACAGAGGACGCGGCGGCUGCUAGGGUAGGAGCUGUGGACGAA